rnacentral:rRNA from 1 species
GGAGCCCUACGGGAGGCAGCAGUGAGGAAUAUUGGUCAAUGGACGCAAGUCUGAACCAGCCAUGCCGCGUGCAGGAAGACGGCUCUAUGAGUUGUAAACCUCUUUUGUCAGGGAGCAACGCCGGCUACGUGUAGCCGGACUGAGAGUACCUGAAGAAAAAGCAUCGGCUAACUCCGUGCCAGCAGCCGCGGUAAUACGGAGGAUGCGAGCGUUAUCCGGAUUUAUUGGGUUUAAAGGGUGCGUAGGCGGAAUGCCAAGUCAGCGGUAAAAUCGCGGGGCUCAACCUCGCUCCGCCGUUGAAACUG